rnacentral:rRNA from 1 species
UACGGAGGGUGCAAGCGUUAUCCGGAUUCACUGGGUUUAAAGGGUGCGUAGGCGGAUCAGUAAGUCAGUGGUGAAAGCUCGCAGCUCAACUGUGAAAUUGCCAUUGAAGCUGCUGAUCUUGAGUUCGGUUGAUGUGGGCGGAAUAUAGCAUGUAGCGGUGAAAUGCUUAGAUAUGCUAUAGAACACCGAUUGCGAAGGCAGCUCACAAAGCCGACACUGACGCUGAGGCACGAAAGCGUGGGUAGCGAACAGG